UACGGAGGGGGCUAGCGUUGUUCGGAAUUACUGGGCGUAAAGCGCGCGUAGGCGGGCUGUUAAGUCGAGGGUGAAAUCCCGGGGCUCAACCCCGGAACUGCCUUCGAUACUGGCAGCCUAGAGGUCGGGAGAGGUGAGUGGAAUGCCGAGUGUAGAGGUGAAAUUCGUAGAUAUUCGGCGGAACACCCGUGGCGAAGGCGGCUCACUGGCGCAUUUCUGACGCUGAGGUGCGAAAGCGUGGGGAGCAAACAGG
rnacentral:rRNA from 1 species